rnacentral:rRNA from 1 species
AUUGAACGCUGGCGGAAUGCUUUACACAUGCAAGUCGAACGGCAGCACGGACUUCGGUCUGGUGGCGAGUGGCGAACGGGUGAGUAAUACAUCGGAACGUGCCCAGUCGUGGGGGAUAACGUAGCGAAAGCUACGCUAAUACCGCAUACGAUCUACGGAUGAAAGCGGGGGAUCACAAGACCUCGCGCGAUUGGAGCGGCCGAUGGCAGAUUAGGUAGUUGGUGGGGUAAAGGCACACCAAGCCGACGAUCUGUAGCUGGUCUGAGAGGACGACCAGCAACACGGGGAGUGAGACACGGCCCAGACUCCUACGGGAGGCAGCAGUGGGGAAUUUUGGACAAUGGGCGCAAGCCUGAUCCAGCCAUUCCGCGCGCAGGAUGAAGGCCCUCGGGUUGUAAACUGCUUUUGUACGGAACGAAAAGGCUCUGGUUAAUACCCGGGGCUCAUGACGGUACCGUAAGAAUAAGCACCGGCUAACUACGUGCCAGCCGCCGCUGUAACAC